AAGAUCUCAGGACUUCCGUGUUUGCGUGUAGACACCCUUCCCCAGCCUCAUUCUCCAUCAGGACCCUUAAACAUCAGAGAUUCCUGCUCAAUCCUCUCCUGCUGCUGGGCUGCAGAUACAUACAAGACCCUUGGAAUCCAGCCAUCAAUAUGAAAAUGAGUCCAGACUAUAGAGACAAAUGUGGCCUCAUUUGUUUGCACAAAUGCUCCAGUCCACAGCGAAGAAGAAAGCUUGCUUUUUGCCUGCUUUCUCUCUCUGGCAUUAGAGCUUAUUUCUUCCGGAUUCUGGCAUCUACUAAAGACCAGCUGAGAUAUCAGCCUCGUGAACCGAACAACCGCUAGAUUCUCGGACAAAAACAGCUUUGCUGGGUGCUGGUGCCUGGUCGGUGUGGCCAUCUAGUGACCAGAGAGGAAACUGCAGCGAUGGGCGCCGCUUACAGCAAUGAGGUCAUCCAUCUCCUUUUCCCAGAGCUCAGGUUUCUCCGCAGAAGGAGGGAUUCCAGCUGUGCCGCAGGAUCCUUGGAAAAGAUACUUUGAAAUUAAAGAAAAUUGGAAGCGCUCCCUUAAAGCCAACUUCUUCAUGCAUUUAUGCCACUGGAAAGUAUUUGGUGCGGGUAGACAGAGCCCCUUCAUGCGUGGAGCUUGGUAAACUUAAACCUCUGCCAGGAACUCUUGUACAGUGACCGACCUGCACUGCCUUGCCUGAAGCCCUAGUACUGCAACAAUCUUCCUCUUAGAAUUUCCAUAGCCACUCCCACCCCCUCCACAAACCUAUAUUCCUAAAAGAGGGACACAAAGGACACUCCGCCCUCAUAGGUUUAUGCUGCUCUUGCAGAUGCAGUUCCAUGAGAAUUUCCGUUUUCA
rnacentral:lncRNA from 1 species